GACAGAGGAUGCAAGCGUUAUCCGGAAUGAUUGGGCGUAAAGCGUCUGUAGGUGGCUUUUUAAGUCCGCCGUCAAAUCCCAGGGCUCAACCCUGGACAGGCGGUGGAAACUACCAAGCUGGAGUACGGUAGGGGCAGAGGGAAUUUCCGGUGGAGCGGUGAAAUGCGUAGAGAUCGGGAAAGAACACCAACGGCGAAAGCACUUUGCUGGCCGACACUGACACUGAGAGACGAAAGCUAGGGGAGCGAAUGGGAUUAGGAUACCCCAGGUAGCCA
rnacentral:rRNA from 1 species